GAUUGUGAAUUCCAGUUAUGUGCUUCUUAUUAAUUGCUGAAUGGAAAACUGCUUGAUGGCAGUAGGCCUAUUGUUUAAAGCAACAAAAGAAAACAAAGGAGAAAAAUGGAGAACCGGAAUGUGUGUAUCAAUUGUUAAAUGUGGCUGAAAUGCCAAGUCUUCGACACAGUGUGAGGGACUCUACUCCCAAUUAAGAAGUCACAAUUGUUACUUGCAGACAUCAUGUUAGUGAAAGUCAACCUAACAUGCCAGACCAAUCAUGGAUGUGUAAAUGGCUAACGGCUAGUGGAAUGGACAUGUCCAGGCUGGGCAUGCCAUUUAUAUAAUAGAAAUGGGCUAUUACUAUUCUUAAUAUUAUUAUUAUUCUUACUAUUCAAUUUAGGAUAAGAUCGUGUUUUCUGUCCAAGCUCAAGACGGAGACGUUUCAGUGAACGAUUACAAUCCUGCAAUCGAUUACUCGUUAGUCGAUCCUAGAGGCAGUUUCUUGAUUAAUCCAACGACCAGUGAAGUGAAAAUAGCCAAACUGAUUGACCGUGACGUCGAAGACUUUGACUUCUACUUUUAUCUAAGCAUUACAGCAACCUGCUUGGUUGAUGUAAUUAUAUUAAAUAAGAUUUCGUGGGUCGGCUGUCACAAAUGGACAUCCUAGUCUUUGAUCCUGAUCUGAAAGACUCUGGCUCUUAUGUCAUGUCGAUCGAAGGUUUGCCCCGAAUUGAGUCCUAGCACAGGCCUUAAUAAUAAUGGAACCUUUUCCCUAAGGAUAGCAUCUUCUGGUUUGUUAGACUACGAGGAUGGCAAUAAACGCAACGUCACCUUUACGGUUGUAGCAAAGGAAUCGUUUUUCAUUCAAUUUUGAAUUCCCCCCUUACGUCAAACUUCCCGAGUAGAGACACCAGCUCCGAUUCUCACCUUCAUGGAUAGCAAGCCACGAAUAUAUCUGCACCCGAAUCGAGCGACACCCACAUGGAUCGUCAUCCGCAGAAGAACUUUAUAAUGAAGUGUAGCGGACAAAGAAAAAAGAACACAAUUGAAAAAAAAAUUAUAUGUUUCAAGGUGUCAUUUCUGUA